rnacentral:sRNA from 1 species
AUUGCUACAAUUGUGUCAGAAGUGAAGUUUGAAAUUACAGAAAUCCGCUUGUUACAACCCGAAUUAGACUGUUUUUCUUACCAGAAAUCAGUAAACUUCCGUUGAAUAUCCGAGUAUGAUGUAAUCGUUUCAAAAAAUUUCUUCACGUAGGCAGGUGAGUUUUUCAGAUGAAAGGUACAGUAAAAUGGUUCAACUCAGGCAAAGGUUUUGGAUUCAUCACUCCAGAAGAAGGCGCAGACGUAUUCGUGCACUUCUCCGCCAUCAAAGGCGAAGGCUAUAAAAGCCUUAAUGAAGGAGACAAGGUAGAAUUCGACGUAAUAACCGAUGCUAAAGGUGCGAAAGCACAGAAUGUAGUAAAGAUAUAAGUCAACUUAUAACUUGAAAACAUCAAAAAACCAUCCUUUAACCAGGAUGGUUUUUUUU